rnacentral:lncRNA from 1 species
CAGUGAGAACUUCAUACCAUACUUGUCAGCAAUGGAGAUCAUCAACCUGCAAAAGGGUGAUGAGUUCUGAACUCAACCAAUAUGAUCUAAAGGUUAGAUUAGAUUCAGAAUAUCGAUAUGAUCGAUACAGUUUUCUAUUUUAUAUCAUAUUUUAUUUAUAAAUUUUUUAAGUCAUAGAUCUUUAAUGGUAGUUUAGAUCUGAUCUAAGGUAUAUUUAGAAGAUUAAAGUGUUUAAUCUUUUAUUAUUCUGCUGUAAAAUUUUAAAAAUAUAUACUUUGAACUAUCCAUUUUUUCUUCACGAAUCUAAGCCGGUAGCAUAGGAACAUCUUUCUAUACCAAUCGAUGUAACCAUCUAGCAAUGAUGACCUGAUGAUCGGAUAGAUCAAAGUAUUGCAAAGCAACCUUUUAGAACCUACUAGCAUAUGGUUACUAUAUAAUUCUUCCCUUUGACCUAAAUGCUCAAAGUGAUCUAGGGUUUAACUGUCAAUCCUAAUUUAGUUGACCAUAUUGUAUCUCAACCUUUCAAAUCCAUCUUAUGGAUUAUUCUAGCCAAGAUUUUACUGAAUUGAAAUAUACUGAUGCA